rnacentral:rRNA from 1 species
GACAGAGGGGGCAAGCGUUGUCCGGGGUUACUGGGCGUAAAGGGCGCGGAGGCGGUCUGCGGCGUCGGCGCUGAAAGCGCCCCGCUUAACGGGGCGAGGCGUGCCGAUACGCGCAGACUUGAGGCGAGCAGAGGGUGGUGGAAUUCCGGGUGGAGCGGUGAAAUGCGUAGAGAUCCGGAGGAACGCCAGUGGGGAAGCCGGCCACCUGGGCUCGUCCUGACGCUGCGGCGCGACCGCCUGGGGAGCAAACCGG